CCUACGGGAGGCAGCAGUGAGGAAUAUUGGUCAAUGGUCGGGAUACUGAACCAGCCAAGCCGCGUGAGGGAUGAAGGUACAGAGUAUCGUAAACCUCUUUUGUCAGGGAACAAAGGCGGGGACGUGUCCCCGGAUGAGUGUACCUGAAGAAAAAGCAUCGGCUAACUCCGUGCCAGCAGCCGCGGUAAUACGGAGGAUGCGCGCGUUAUCCGGAUUUCUUGGGUUUACGGGGUGCGCAGGCGGUCUGUUAAGUCAGCGGUCAAAGCCCGGGGCUCAACCCCGGCCCGCCAUUGAAACUGGCAGUCUCGAGUUGGAGAGAAGUAUGCGGAAUGCGCGGUGUAGCGGUGAAAUGCAUAGAUAUCGCGCAGAACUCCGAUUGCGAAGGCAGCAUGCCGGCUCCACACUGACGCUGAGGCACGAAAGCGUGGGUAUCGAACAGGAUUAGAUACCCGAGUAGUC
rnacentral:rRNA from 1 species